UUCACUUUGCUGCAGCAGCAAAACCAAAAACAAAAACAAAGAGCGGAAAAUUAAAAAAAAAAUUGAAACGCCGCGAGUUGGCAACGAAGACAAAUACACAAGUGAGUGACGUCUUCUUCUUCUUCUCUCUCUCUCUCUCUCUCUCUCUCUCCAAAAACUUCUGUCUCUCAAUUCUAUUUUCACAAGGAAACCACAGCGCCUCUACCGA
rnacentral:ribozyme from 1 species